CGGGCUAACUCGUUUAUUGGUCAUCCGCAGAAAUUAACAGACAUCCUUGAGAUUGGUGUAAAUCAUAUUUUGACUUAUAGGGGUCAGCCCAUGAUUGCGAUCAGCACUUAUUUCAAAUCUUGGCAUGUCUGCAUGCUCGUAUAAGUGAAUGUUAUUCUUCAUCUUUUAUGGAAUACAGUUACAUUUGACAUAUGAUUGAUUUUAUAUAAUUACCGUCAUUUCCCGACCUGCAAGCCGCGACUUUUUUCACACGCUUUCAACCCCGCGGUUUAUGCGGUGGUGGGGCGCUAGCGUUAGCGCGGCUCUAGCGUUAGCACGGCGCUAGCGUUAGCAGACCUGGUUAUAAACCACGGUACACAGAAAAAGUUCAAAUAGUUCAACGCUAGUGCCGCGGUAAUGCUAGUGCCGCGCUAACGCUAGCCCCACACUAAGGCUAGCGUCGUGCUACCGCUAGCGCACCUGGUUAUAAAUCAUGGUUCACAGAAAAAGUUUAGAGUUCAACGCUAGUGCCCAACUAACGCGAGCACCGCGCUAACGCUAGCGUCACGAUAACGCUAGUCAUGCGCUGACGCUAGUGCCACGCUAAACAUAGCAUUGUGCUAACGCUAGCCCCACGCUAGCAUUAAACUCUUUCUGUAUACCAAGGCUUAUAACCAGGUGCGCUCUGUAGGCCGGGAAUUACGGUAUUGCACUAACAACCGUGAUCGUUCUACUGAUUGUCCUGCAAUUUGGACAAAAGAAAAAAGGAGUUAGGCCACUCUAGUUAUCAGUGGCUAAAAUAGUAUUUGACACGCUCUGCGGUGAUGUUUGUAAAGAAAGCCAAAGGGAUGGGGGGGAUGGGGUUGAAACGUGUUGGUGGUGGUGGUGGGGGGGGUGCUAUACCCAUGAAUAUAAAAAAGAAAGAAAUAGCAGCCUUUUGCCACAAAACCUUCAACAAUCUCAUAGAAAGCCCCCAAAAAUGUAAUAAUAAAUUCAUGAAAAGCGAUAACAUCAGAACUUUAUUUGGGGGGGUCAUCAAAAGUACUUCACACGGCGGAAGUUGCGUACUGAUACUCAGUCAACAUGAGUUAGAAUGUGAUUGGUUUGCUGGGAUAGGCUCCAGCCCUCCCGUGACCCUUGUGAGGAUAAGCGGCUCAGAAAAUGGUUGGUUGGUCCAUUCUGAACAUUGAUCUUGUAAGAGGGUGUGCGCACUUGUUGUACGUACGCCGUCAUUUAUUUCUCGUCCUUAUUCUUAAAAAAAAAAAAAAAAAAAUUGAAUUGUGCAACUUACAGCUCACGUUAACGAUAAAAGUGAAAUAUUUUGGAUAUAUGAAAUGAAAUAUGGAAUUCCAAACACUCCCUCUGGCCCAGAUAUUGCCCCCCCCCCAAAAAAAAUAUAUUUUAGGAUGCACUACGAAUUAGCAGGGAAGGACUCACGAAGGCCAACCUUCACGUUGAAGGAAACGGAGGAUUAUUAUUUUUUUUCUUCUUGUGAAUGUUUACGCGUGUGCGCUAGCACAUGUCGACAUUUCAAUCGACGGCGAUAUUGAUUUCCGAUCGACGCCAGGGGAUACGCUCGCUGGACACUUUAUUAGGUAGACCCGGACAGAAAAUGCAAUGCGACCCGAUCCAGAAAAUCGUUCCAAUCGUCAUGAAAGAAAUUUCAAUUCAAUUUUCUAUAUUUUACUGAAUUCACCAAUCAGGCGAAUGAACACCUACGGCAUGUGGUGUUAUUUUCUUCUGUGGACUUUAUUUUUUGUGGCGUCCUUUUGUCAAAUCGUUGACGUAUUUCUGGCCUCAGCUGCCGUUGAACAAAACGUUUCGUCGCUAAAAAUGUCUCCCGACCGCGUAAACAAUUUCCCCGCCGCUGUUGUCGACCCGCUUCCGCCACCUUCGUCGAAUGAACUGGCAUGUCAAUUUGUGUCCAAGUUUGGAUCCAGUUUGCAAAAAAAAAAAAAAAAGAACAAAUAAAUAUUGCUGUUUUCUUGCAAAUUGUGAGAAAUGUGCUACCCCUCCCUGCUGGGACCACAAACCAGACUAAGACGAAGGUCGCCAUCCGCCAUCUUGAUGCUCCCAAAACAAACAUGGCGACCUGUGCAGCGACAGCGAUUAACUGCGUCAAUCCCCAGUUUCGUGGCUGUGAGAAAACAUUCCAGAGCUGGUAUUCCAUCAAAUGAUCUCUUUGAACAUCCGUCUCGUCUGUUGUGACAACCAACACCGCAACAGGUCUCGGAUUUCAGGCAGAACAUCACCAAGUUCGAAGGGAGCGGCAGCAUUCGGAGCAAUCAGCCAUAUCCACCGUCGGCAGCAGCACCUACCGGAACAUUCUAAGGGGAGAUACGAGUCAAACGUGAGUCGGCGUAAUAGAACUUCAAAUGCACACAAAGGAACUCUCGAGUUUAAUCUGCAUGCCUCGGACAGGAUUUGGACAAAACUAGUUGGGACUCGGGGAGCUUAUCGUGCGGCCACUUCAAGGUUCACAUUAGCGGCGCCAUUGUGCGAAAUGCGCAGCAGUUCAACUUUUAACUGAAAAGGAACAGGGGAUUCCGACAACGAGUGGAAAGCAUCGGCAAUUGAGAAAAGAAAUGCAAAACUAUUUGUCACAUGCAAAUGACAACUGCUGACUUUUUUCUUUGCAAAUGCACAGAAAAAACACCUGAUGCACCCCGGAUGGUCCACUAUCAAAUACUUUGAAUGCACAUUUUUUGAUUCAACAAGCA